GAGCUUUUUCUGCUGCUUCAUCUACCUCUGUGUUUUGCUCAGAUCUCUAAAUUGACUCAGCCCCAGGUAAGAUCAGAUCCUUCUCCUAUGAUCUAGACCUUCAGGUUUCCCAGUGAGGGUAUGUGUUCAGGGGCAGAUGCUCCCCCUUUUUCACUUUCAAAGCUUGGCACUUACAGUAUUUGGGUUGUUUUCCUGGUCCUGCAGGAGCAAUCCACUUUUUUCAGAAGGUCUGUGGGUUUUCUUGACUUUCGUGAAUUACUCCUGCAGUAGUUCUGGAGCAAAAAUUCAUGAUGCAAGUCUCCACACACUGCUCUCUAUCUGAGUGGGAGCUGGAAUCUAGUCCUGCUUCCCAUCUGCCAUUUUUCCCUCAGAGCUUGUUUUUUAAAUUUCUUUAAGUUGGUUUUUACCUUUCUCUGGUGCUUCCUUGAGUAGCUUAAUAAUUAACUUUCUGAAUUCUUUAUUUGGCAAUUCAGAGAUUUCUUCUUGGUUUGCAUCCAUUGCUGGAGAGCUAGUGUGAUCUUUUUGGGGUGUUAUAGAACCUUGAUUUGUCAUAUUACCAGAAUUACUUUUCUGAUUUUUUUUUAUUUGUGUAGACUGUUUCAGUGAAAAGAUCUGGAACUCAAGGGUGGUUGUUCAGAUUUUUUUCCCCCACAGGGUGAUCCUUUGAUGUGGUAUUCUCCUCCUUUUUCUAGGGAUGGAGCUUCCUGAGAGCCAGACUUCAGUGAUUGUUAUUGUCCUUCUGGGUCUAGCUACCCAGCAGUGCUACCAGCCUCCAUGGUGGUACUGGGGAUGUCUGCAGAGUCCUGUGGUGUGAUUUGUCUUCGAGUCUCCCACCCGUGGAUAACAGCACCUGCUUCAGUGGAGGUGGCAGGGGAGUGAAGCAGACUCUGUGGGAGUCCUUGGUUGUAGUUUUGUUUAGUGCCCUGGCUUUAUUGAAUGCUGGUUAUGCUAGGAGUGAAGCUGAUUGGGGACACAGCUCUGGUUAGCUUCUUUGGAGCAGGAUUGUUCUCGUAUGAGUUGCUGUAAUAGCUUGAGUUGGUUGGCCUUCAACUGGCAGGUGGCACUUGGAAGAGAGCACCAGCUGUGGUAGAAGAAAGGGGAUAUAAGCUUGCCCUAGAUUGGCCAGGAUAAGUACUCGGGUUUCUUAGGUGAUGGGUGGGGCCAUAGAGCUCCCAAGAGUUUAUGUCAUUUGUCUUUGGCUAUCGGGGUGGGUAGAGAAAAACCAUCAGGUGAGGGCACAGUUAGGUGGGUCUGAGCUCAGACUCUCCUUGGAUGGUGCUUGCUGCUGCCACUGUGGCAGAUGGGGGUGUGGUUCCCAGGCCAGUGGAGUUAUGUUCUUAGGGGGAUUAUGGCUGCCUCUGCUACAUCAUAAAGGUUGCCUGGAAGUGGAGGAAAGCUGGCAGUGACAGGCUUCACCCAGCUCCCACGCAGCCAGCAAGGCCAUCUCACUCUCGCUGUGCCCCACUCACAGCACUGAGUUUACAUCCAGGCAGCCGCAAGCAGGGCUGAAAUCUUGCCCCAGGCUACAAGCCUCCCCACUGAGAAAGCAAGCAUGGCUCCCAGGCCUCACCUCUCCCCACCUGCCUGCACCUUUGGCUGCAACUUCUAUGCUGGUAUCUGCACUUCCUGUUUGCUCCCCCACCCCAAUUCUGCUCAAGAAAAUUUUUGCUCAGUGGAAAUUAUUGUCAGUUCAAUUAGGAGUGUCCUUCACUCUGUGCCCCUCCCGAGUUUUGCUGGCUGCCUUCCCCAAGGAUCCCUGUGAGACAUGGCCAGGAAUGGCUUCCCUGGUCUUAAGCUGGGGACAGGGAGUGCCUACAGGGCUCUCCCUGCUGCUUCUUCUACUUGUAUAUUUCACUUAGCUACCUAAAUCCAUUUCAGCUAUAGGUAAGGUCAGAUCCUUCUUUCAUGACCUGCAUUUUCAGGUUCCCCAGUGAGGAUGUGUGUUCAGAGGCUGACUUUUCCCCUUCUCACACUUUGGGAGCUCACAGGUUUUCAGCCAUCUCAUGGAGUUUGCAGCAGCAAGAUGCUGCUUUCAAAGGGUCUGUGAAUUCUUUUCUGAAGUUGUUCUUGGAGCAAAAGUUCACAGUGUGAUUUUCUACACACUAUUCUGUCCAUCCAAGUGGGACCUGCAGGUUGGUCCUGUCUCCAAUCCACCCUUUUCCUCUGACUCCCUGAAAUUUCCAUCUUUUUAGAUAGAAAUUUCGGGACUAAGAUUAUCUCCAUUUUUUAAAAAUGUUUCUCACCCAGGAUUUAGAUUUAGAUUUUUCUUAAAAGAUUUGCAGUUUGCUUAAGUGAGUGCAUCUUAUUUAUUUUUAGUCCAUUUCUAUAAAUUUAAUAACUACUUUUUCCUAUUGUGAUUGUAAUCUUCUUUUGUGAUUUGUUAUGGCAAAGUAAGGAAAGCUAUUGAUAUUUUGAAUACUUGCUUUAUCUGCAGUCAUGGUCAUGUUAGUCUUUUCGCAUGAGUUUAAAAAUGCUUCAUCUUUUUCUGUAUUCUUAAAAUUAAAGUAAUGUAUGAUUUCUUUCUUGAACUCUGGUAGAACUCAGGAAUAAAAUGGAUUAAGCUUGAUGUUCCUUUUUAGGAUACAUCUUAAAUUUUUAAAAGUAAAAAGAAGAGUGUUUAUGAUAAUUUUAAACUUAUUAAAUUUGGAAAAUGCCAAAACACAUCUAAUUAUUUUCUUAUUCAUUCUAUUUAUAAGGCAAAAGAGCAAAAUUUUGUGCCACCCAGUGGUCAUUUCAGCAAAUCCAAUGAUAUUAUAAGCAUAAAAGACAUUUGGGUGAUUUUACUUUUGAAAAUUUAGGGCCAAAUACAGGAAACACAAAGUUAAGAAUAAUUGUUAGGUGGGGCAGUCAUGAUAUAAGUCAUAGUUGCAUAAACAAAAAGCAGUUAUUAUGAGUAAUAUUUCAAAAUAAUCAGUAGCAAUGAUCUUUACUCAUUUUAGAAAGUAAAAAACAUAUUUUUCAAAGCCAUUUAAGAGAUUAUCAGAAGUCAACAGAGUUGCCAUACUAUUUUGUUGUUAAAUGGGGAUCUCUUUUAUCUGAGCACAUAAUAGUUUGGUCACAAUACAAAAGAAAACCCCAAGUCUACAUCUACUCAUUUUAUAUAUACUUCAUAUAAUAAUUUUUAGUUAAGGUUUUAUAAAUCAGACUAUUAGAAAUGAAUAAAAUCACUAACAUUGAGCUUUCCAUAUUUCUUAUUCAUCUACACAGAAAUUACAAAAUUUAUUUUAGUAGACAAUUAUAUAUGUUCAGACAUGUAUAAACUCAUAAGAACGUAAGUGGAUAAUGAAUUUAAAAGUUGGAUUUUAAUUUUAAGAUAUGAUUCAUCUUACCUGAAUUUAAAUAAAAAUACAUUGUUAUGUUUAAAUUACUCCCUUUAGUAAACCAUCUUCUUUUACCAUUACCUUUGACUGUUUACAUAUUAAAGUUUUGUAAUUAGUAUACAACUAUAUUCUUAAUUAUUUAUGUUAAUUACCACCUUUAUUUAAAACAACUAACUCUUGUUUUCUUCAGUCACAGAGAAAACUCGAAAGAAGACAGGAAUCCAAGGAUUGCCUAGAUGAUAAUUUACAAGUACACACUUUAGAUUACCUUAUUGAUGUUAAGAUAACAAAACAAGUAUGUAUUAAAAAUCAGCCAAACCUUUGGACAUUCUGCGAAUAUAUAAAUCAUUUGAUAAUGCAUAAGAAUAGGAAAAAAUUGAAAUGUGUUCAUGACUAAAGUUUUAUAUUUGUGGUAAUGUUAAAAUGUAUUAUUAAAUAUGUUAAAAUUAUUUCAUUUUUUUCCCCUUUGAGAGGUAAAGCCUAAUACUUCUCCCCUUGAAUAUGGGCUAGACUUAUGAGCACAUUUCUAAUGAACAGAGAAAGUGGAUGUGGAUGUGACAAUGUGUAUGUUGGAAGACUAGACAAUAUCAGAGAUGAACAUGAUGGUGAAAGAAAAUAAAAGAAGAAAGCUAGUUAAUAAAAGGCACCAUUGUUUCCUCCUCUUCCUCCUCCUCCACCUCUUUAACUCUCUCUCCCUCUCUCUGAUCAACAGCUCUAGCAAAAGCCAGCUGCUAUGCGGUGCGGACUUUCAGGCAGCUUUGCAGGGAGAUACAUGUGGCAAGGAACUGACAGGCCUUCAGCCAAAGGCACAUGACUGAGUCAUCUUGGAAGUGAACGCUCCACCUGCGAGAUGACUGUAGCCCUGGCUGACAUCUUGACUGCAACCUGCAAGACUUUAGGAGGCUCCAGAAACCAGCAGUAACCCAGGCCAGUGCAAAACCAAGAACAGCUGCAUUCGAAUGGGGAAAGAGAACAACCACCACGUUUUGCUCAACCUGGGACGUAUGCAUCUCGAUGGAAGGCUCUUGAAGAAAUGGAAAAGCAGCAGCGUGAGCAGGUUGAUAGAAACAUCAGAGAAGCCAAAGAGAAACUGGAGGCAGAAAUGGAAGCAGCUAGGCAUGAACACCAAUUAAUGCUAAUGAGGCAAGUCAUUAUUUUGUAGAUCUAAUGAGGCAUCAAGAAGAACUCAGAUGCUUGGAAGAACUCAGAAAUCAAGAGUUGCAGAGGGUGGAGCCAAGAUGGCCGAAUAGGAACAGCUCCAUUCUACAGCUCCCAGCAUGAGCGACGCAGAAGAUGAAUGAUUUCUGCAUUUCCAACUGAGCAAUACGUUGAAGUUCUUGUUGUAUCGCAUCUUGGCCAGCAUUUGUUUUUGUCGGUGUUUCGGAUCGUCACCAUUCUAAGAGAACAGGAAAUGAGAAUGGGUGAUAUGGGUCCCUGUGGAGCAAUAAACAUGGGAGAUGCGUUUAGCCCAGCCCCUGCUGGUAACCAAGGUCCUCCUCCAAUGACGGGUAUGAAUAUGAACAACAGAGCAACUAUACCUGGCCCACCAAUGGGUCCUGGUCCUGCCAUGGGACCAGAAGGAGCCGCAAAUAUGGGAACUCCAAUGAUGCCAGAUAAUGGAGCAGUGCACAAUGACAGAUUUCCUCAAGGACCACCAUCUCAGAUGGGUUCACCUAUGGGGAGUAGAACAGGUUCUGAAACCCCUCAAGCACCAAUGAGUGGCGUAGGUCCUGUGAGUGGUGGUCCUGGUGGCUUUGGUAGAGGAAGUCAAGGGGGCAACUUUGAAGGCCCUAAUAAGCGUCGUAGAUAUUAAACAUUCGUUCAUUCCUGGCUAUCCAGAAAAAAAAAGUCAGUGGUAUGCCUUUAUACUUUUACCUGUUAUCUGGAAGAAAUGGUUUUAUUGUUAAUGUAUGUAGACUUAAAAGUUUUUUUUUUUUGUAAAACUUGAGGUUUUUGUAUUUUUCUUUAUUCAUGAGCUUUGUAGAUUAGAAUGGUAAUGAUGCUCAUCAUUUUGAAUGUUGAAAUGUGUUUGUGACUUUAGCUAAAUAUAAGUAUUCCAUAGUACUGUGAAAUCUAUGUAGUUACUUAAUCUCAAUAAAGAAAUCAUUUUGGAUAAUUUAAAA